UACGGAGGGUGCAAGCGUUAUCCGGAUUCACUGGGUUUAAAGGGUGCGUAGGUGGGUUGGUAAGUCCGGGGUGAAAUCUCCGAGCUUAACUCGGAAACUGCCGUGGAUACUAUCAAUCUUGAAUACUGUGGAGGUAAGCGGAAUAUGUCAUGUAGCGGUGAAAUGCUUAGAUAUGACAUAGAACACCGAUAGCGGAGGCAGCUUGCUGCACAGUCAUUGACACUGAGGCACGAAAGCGUGGGGAUCAAACAGG
rnacentral:rRNA from 1 species